AUGCUUUGGCAGUACAUAUACUAAAAUUGGAAUGAUACAGAGAAGAUUAGCAUGGUCCCCAUGCAAGGAUGACACACAAAUUCAUGAAGCAUUCCAUAUUUGU
rnacentral:snRNA from 1 species